GGUGGAGGAACCAGACUGGAGGUUGGAAGUGAUGCCCGUCCCACCCUGACAGUGCUGCCCCCCUCCAGUGAGGAGCUGCAGCAGGGGAAGGCCACCCUCAUGUGUCUGGCCAACAAGGGCUUCCCCUCAGACUGGAGUCUGUCCUGGACGCUGGACGGCAGCAGCAGCUUCACCUGGGAAGAAAACAAGAGCCGAGUGGUGCUGCAGAAGGACGGCCUCUACAGCUGGAGCAGCACCCUGAGGCUCCCUGCAGACCAGUGGAGGAAGGUGGGCUCUGUGACCUGUGAGGCCUCCAAGGGCUCCCAGCCUGCAGUCACACAGACGCUGACCAGAGACCAGUGUUCCCAGUCCUGAGCUCAUUCACUGGGAGUUUGCUGGUCUUUUUCUGCUACUGCUCUGUUUUUGCUCUUUAAUCAUUUCUCUCAAUGUUUCUUCCU